AAACAAGCGCAAAAAGGGCAUUUGGUGGAUGCCUUGACAUUAGGAGGCGACGAAGGACGUAGUACGCUUACGAAAAGCUGCGAGGAGAUGCGAACAAUCUUUGAUCCGCAGAUAUCCGAAUGGGAAAACCCGCCGCAUUUGCGGCAUCCGUACAUGAAUAAAUAGUGUGCGGAGGCGAACGUAGGGAACUGAAACAUCUAAGUACCUAUAGGAAAGGACAUCAAACGAGACUCCGUUAGUAGCGGCGAGCGAACGCGGAAUAGGCCAACGGCUGUUGGGAUAUAACUAGAACAUGUUGGAAAGCAUGGCCGCAGAGGGUGAUAGCCCCGUAAAGGUAGGAAGACGACAGCAUCCGAGUAGGACGGAACACGUGUUAUUCUGUCUGAACAUGGGGGGACCACCCUCCAAGCCUAAGUACUACCUAGUGAUCGAUAGCGAACAAGUACCGUGAGGGAAAGGUGAAAAGAACCCCGAGCAGGGGAGUGAAAUAGAUCUGAAACCGAGUGCCUACAAACAGUUGUAGCGGGUUAUAUUGGUUAAUUCCGAUAUAAUAGAACCGUGACAGCGUACCUUUUGCAUAAUGAGUCAGCGAGUUCGUGUUAGUAGCAAGCUUAAACCGAUAGGCGUAGGCGCAGGGAAACCGAGUCUGAAUAGGGCGUUUUAAGUUACUAGCAUGAGACCCGAAACCGGGUGAUCUAACCAUGGACAGGUUGAAGUUGAGGUAACACUUAAUGGAGGACCGAACCCACCGCUGUUGCAAUAGCGGGGGAUGAGCUGUGGUUAGGGGUGAAAGGCCAAUCAAACUCGGAGAUAGCUGGUUCUCCGCGAAAUCUAUUGAGGUAGAGCGUUAAUUAUUUACCGUUGGGGGUAGAGCACUGAAUGGACUAGGGGGAAGCGAUUCCUACCAAAUCCAAACAAACUCCGAAUACCAACGAGUACAAAUUAGCAGACACACAGUGGGAGCUAAGUUCCAUUGUGAAAAGGGAAAGAGCCCUAAUCGUCCGCUAAGGUCCCAAAGUCGUAGUUAAGUGGAAAAGGAAGUGGGAAGACCAAGACAGCCAGGAGGUUGGCUUAGAAGCAGCCAUCCUUUAAAGAAAGCGUAAUAGCUCACUGGUCUAGUUAAGUUCUCCUGCGCCGAAAAUGUAACGUGGCUAAAACUACGCGCCGAAGCGACGGGUUCAUACUAAAUAGCAUUCAGUAUGAGCGGUAGCGGAGCGUUCCGUAAGCCGUUGAAGCCAAAUGCGCGAGCAGUGGUGGAGGUAUCGGAAGCGAGAAUGCUGACAUGAGUAACGAUAAGGCAUGUGAAAAACAUGCCCGCCGAAAGUCCAAGGGUUCCUACGCAAUGCUAAUCAGCGUAGGGUAAGUCGGCCCCUAAGGCGAGGACGAAAGUCGUAGUCGAUGGGAAUACGGUUAAUAUUCCGUAACCUUUGCGGAGAUGACGGAGUCGAUAAUUUGUUAGGUCUUAUUGGAUUGAUCCUAGCAGAGAACGGCUUCCAGGAAAUAGCCCGCAAGUAUAGACCGUACCCUAAACCGCCACUGGUGGACGAGUAGAAUAUACUAAGGCGCUUGAGAGAAUGGUGUUGAAGGAACUCGGCAAUUUGCCCUUGUAACUUCGGGAUAAGAGGGACCCACUGUUGGGCAACCAGCGAUGGGUGGCACAGAAUCGGGGGUAGCGACUGUUUAUCAAAAACACAGGACUAUGCAAAAUCGAGAGAUGAGGUAUAUGGUCUGACGCCUGCCCGGUGUCGGAAGGUUAACAGGAGGCGUGCAAGCGCUGAAUCGAAUCCCCGAUAAACGGCGGCCGUAACUAUAACGGUCCUAAGGUAGCGAAAUUCCUUGUCAGGUAAGUUCUGACCCGCACGAAUGGCGUAACGACUUCCCCGCUGUCUCCAACACCAACUCAGUGAAAUUGGAAUCCCAGUGAAAAUACUGGGUUCCCGCGGUUAGACGGAGAGACCCCGUGCACCUUUACUACAGCUUUGCAGUGGUAUUAGAUGAUUGAUGUGUAGAAUAGGUGGGAGCCUAUGAAGCUGGAACGUCAGUUCUGGUGGAGGCGCAAUAUGAAAUACCACCCUUUGAUCGUUUGAUAUCUAACGGAGAUCCAUGAAUCUGGGUCCCGGACCCUGCAUGGCGGGUAGUUUGACUGGGGCGGUCGCCUCCCAAAGAGUAACGGAGGCGUGCGAAGGUAGGCUCAAUCUGGACGGAAACCAGAUGUCGAGUGCAAUGGCAAAAGCCUGCCUGACUGCGAGACUCACAAGUCGAGCAGAGACGAAAGUCGGUCAUAGUGACCCGGUGGUUCCAUGUGGAAGGGCCAUCGAUCAACGAAUAAAAGGUACGCCGGGGAUAACAGGCUUAUCUCCCCCAAGAGUUCACAUCGACGGGGAGGUUUGGCACCUCGAUGUCGGCUCAUCACAUCCUGGGGCUGAAGAAGGUCCCAAGGGUUUGGCUGUUCGCCAAUUAAAGUGGUACGUGAGCUGGGUUCAGAACGUCGUGAGACAGUUUGGUCCCUAUCUGCCGUGGGUGUUGGAUGAUUGAGAGAGGCUGUUCCUAGUACGAGAGGACCGGAAUGGACAUACCUCUGGUGGACCUGUUGUCGCGCCAGCGGCAUAGCAGGGUAGCUACAGUAUGGAAGAGAUAAACGCUGAAAGCAUCUAAGCGUGAAACUCGUCUCAAAACUUAUCAUCCCCAUUAGAGUCGUGGUAGACUACCACGUUGAUAGGCCAGAUGUGGAAACGUAGCAAUAUGUGGAGCUUACUGGUACUAAUAACUCGAUUGGCUUGUUUUU
rnacentral:rRNA from 1 species